CAACCUGCCUUACACAGGGGGAGUAGCCAUUGGAAACGGUGAUUAAUACCCCAUAAGACCACAAUACCGCAUGGUAAAAGGGUAAAAGGGAUACCGGUGUAAGAUGGGCUCGCGUCUGAUUAGCUAGUUGGUGGGGUAAAGGCCCUACCAAGGCGACGAUCAGUAGCCGGUCUGAGAGGAUGAACGGCCACAUUGGAACUGAGACACGGUCCAAACUCCUACGGGAGGCAGCAGUGGGGAAUAUUGCACAAUGGGGGAAACCCUGAUGCAGCGACGCCGCGUGAGCGAAGAAGGCUUUCGAGUCGUAAAGCUCUGUCCUAUGAGAAGAUAAUGACGGUAUCAUAGGAGGAAGCCCUGGCUAAAUACGUGCCAGCAGCCGCGGUAAU
rnacentral:rRNA from 1 species